rnacentral:rRNA from 1 species
CCGGAUACCCCCGGGCGCCGCAUGGCGCCCGGGCUAAAGCCCCGACGGGAGGGGAUGGCUCCGCGGCCCAUCAGGUAGACGGCGGGGUGACGGCCCACCGUGCCGACAACGGGUAGCCGGGUUGAGAGACCGACCGGCCAGAUUGGGACUGAGACACGGCCCAGACUCCUACGGGAGGCAGCAGUGGGGAAUCUUGCGCAAUGGGGGGAACCCUGACGCAGCGACGCCGCGUGCGGGACGGAGGCCUUCGGGUCGUAAACCGCUUUCAGCAGGGAAGAGUCAAGACUGUACCUGCAGAAGAAGCCCCGGCUAACUACGUGCCAGCAGCCGCGGUAAUACGUAGGGGGCGAGCGUUAUCCGGAUUCAUUGGGCGUAAAGCGCGCGUAGGCGGCCCGGCAGGCCGGGGGUCGAAGCGGGGGGCUCAACCCCCCGAAGCCCCCGGAACCUCCGCGGCUUGGGUCCGGUAGGGGAGGGUGGAACACCCGGUGUAGCGGUGGAAUGCGCAGAUAUCGGGUGGAACACCGGUGGCGAAGGCGGCCCUCUGGGCCGAGACCGACGCUGAGGCGCGAAAGCUGGGGGAGCGAACAGGAUUAGAUACCCUGGUAGUCCCAGCCGUAAACGA